CGGGCGGGUGAGUAACGCGUGGAUAACCUGCCUCACACUGGGGGAUAACAGUUAGAAAUGGCUGCUAAUACCGCAUAAGCGCACAGUACCGCAUGGUACGGUGUGAAAAACCCAGGUGGUGUGAGAUGGAUCCGCGUCUGAUUAGCCAGUUGGCGGGGUAACGGCCCACCAAAGCGACGAUCAGUAGCCGACCUGAGAGGGUGACCGGCCACAUUGGGACUGAGACACGGCCCAA
rnacentral:rRNA from 1 species